rnacentral:lncRNA from 1 species
ACCCAAUGGGAACAAUUUUACACAAUUCUGGAAGAUUGCUUGGUAAGCAUGAGACAAAUUUCAAGUGUUAAGUGUUAUGUCUGACACUGAAAUGAUGGGAAAUUGCAGACUGAACUUGUUAUAGGAGCAAUUUUCCUAUAUUUCAAGGUCCAGAAUCACUUAAAUCCCUUAUCAGGCUCCUUACAUUUAUGAUUAAAAGAAAUGGUUUCACCUAUUCUUGUACUGAAAAUAUCCCCUCUACCAAUUUCUACUAUUUUUCUUUCUACCAUGAAACUGAUUUAAAUAUUUUUUUUUUCUAUUUAAUAGUCAUCCUGAUCUUAAUUUUACCAUAGAAAUGAAGAGAAAAAACUGUACCCAGAGACAGCAAGAGUACUUUAACCUGUACACAGAUUGCUGUCAUGUGUAAGAUCACAGCCACCAGCCAUCAUGCAAAGCUAAGACAGACAUGGCUACUGAAACCAGUUGCUUAAAUAAGGUUCUGACCAGGACAGAGCUGGGGCACAGGUGAAUGCAAGUCAGUAUUUUGGACUGAGGCAAUGGUAUGAAGCUGAGGAGACCUGCUGGAAGAAAGGAAAAGGGAGAAUGUUGCAUACAGCCAAUUAGAGAUGCUCAAGCUUUAACUGAACUGUGGAAUCAACUGCAGAAUGUUAAAUAUUUGAUUUUAAGAAGAAUAGCACGUUCUGCUCUGUUCUUGGUGACGUUUGCAAGUACCUACUCUUGA